AACUUUCAACAAUGGAUCUCUUGGUUCUGGCAUCGAUGAAGAACGCAGCGAAAUGCGAUAAGUAGUGUGAAUUGCAGAAUUCAGUGAAUCAUCGAAUCUUUGAACGCACAUUGCGCCCCUCGGUAUUCCGUGGGGCAUGCCUGUUCGAGCGUCAUUU
rnacentral:rRNA from 11 species